rnacentral:lncRNA from 13 species
UGUUUUCUCUCCAACGUUGAAGGACCACUUCUGAGCUACCCGGCAACAUUCCUCCGCUGCAGGCUUCCUCUGGCUUCCUGGCUGGUGUCUGGUUUAUAUCACCAUGUUUUCCUAAACAUGGAAUGCAUGCUGUGCUUGGAUAUAAAAUCUUCUUUUGAUGGUAUUUCAAACUUUAUUCUUCCCAGUGGUCUACGACAUCGUAAGCCCCGGGAGCUGAAUGGUAGGAUUGCGGGGGGCGUGGGGAGGCUGAGCCCUCUGGAAGCAGAAUUCUGUGAAACAGAUUCUGAGGGAUGCACGCCGGGCAGACACGUUCAGUGUCAGUUUUUGUUGUUUGCUCUUUAAACAAGUGCAUCGGACUCAAUAUCUGAGCAUUGUCUUAUGGGAGAGCUGGUAAAGGGGUGUCAGGGUGAGGCGUGUGGCUGCAUCUGGAGUUCCUGAUGACCAUCAUGGGGCCAUGGCAUGUCAGCAAUGGGAUGACUGCAGGUAUGUUUGUGUGUGUAAGCUGGUGAGGGUACAGGGAGGGGUUCAAAAAAAGCCAAAUUAUGAAAGAACGACAUUAUUCUAAGUCCAGAUGAAUUUUGCCAUAGACAACGUUGACUACUUUGGAAUUGUGUCCUUCCCCAGAACCAGCGAGGAAAUGCAUGGUGUUUUGGCAUCUGUAAUGGAAAAAGAGCAAUAUUCAGCAUCUCCAGGUUUCCAUUUAUUCCAAACCUCUGAGGUCAGUGAUGAAAAUAGUGUGGCAGUGUACUGGGAGCCUCAGCACCAGUGGUAGUUGUGGCUCCUGACGAGGACAAUCUACAAGGCAGCUGAACUGAACCCUGCAGUUGACUGAUGUUCUAAUGUUUUUAAAGUGUUGCAGAAAGGAUCUGAAAAUGGAGGAAUGAACUGGGCAGUAACCUCACCUCUGGGGCUCAGAAGCACUUUUUUCAAAUGUUAAAUGAAAUGCAGCCUUAUCUUGUAUCUCAAUCUGGUGAGAUGUUUCAAAUUCAAUAAACAUACCUGUCAGUGUAUAUGGACUCUACUU